GAUGAACGCUGGCGGCGUGCCUAAUACAUGCAAGUCGAGAGAACAGAUGAGGAGCUUGCUCCUCUGACGUUAGCGGCGGACGGGUGAGUAACACGUGGAUAACCUACCUAUAAGACUGGGAUAACUUCGGGAAACCGGAGCUAAUACCGGAUAAUAUAUUGAACCGCAUGGUUCAAUAGUGAAAGACGGUUUUGCUGUCACUUAUAGAUGGAUCCGCGCCGCAUUAGCUAGUUGGUAAGGUAACGGCUUACCAAGGCAACGAUGCGUAGCCGACCUGAGAGGGAGAUCGGCCACACUGGAACUGAGACACGGUCCAGACUCCUACGGGAGGCAGCAGUAGGGAAUCUUCCGCAAUGGGCGAAAGCCUGACGGAGCAACGCCGCGUGAGUGAUGAAGGUCUUCGGAUCGUAAAACUCUGUUAUUAGGGAAGAACAAAUGUGUAAGUAACUAUGCACGUCUUGACGGUACCUAAUCAGAAAGCCACGGCUAACUACGUG
rnacentral:rRNA from 1 species